AAAAAUAAAAUAAAAUUCUUUGAAUUGCAGAAGACCUCGGAGCAGAACUCUAACCGAGUUGAAGACUCGGAGCAGAACUCACUCCACAUGAAGAUUCUUCACUCCGGCGAAGUCACCGUCAACUUGAACCCCCUCUCCUCCACCUGCUUCUCUAACGCAGUUUCAGGAACUUCAGUUGCAAAAAAGGAGAUUUUUGGAGGGAGCUAUUAAAAGCUUGGAUUUCUAACACAUCGAAGACCUAAGAGUGGGCAAUGUGGGGAGAACUAAUGAAGAGGAAGGAAAAGUAAUGGCUGGCUAUGCGAAGAGUACAAGUUCAUCUCCACUCUGGUUCAUCUUUUAUUACUUUUACUCUUUCUUUUUUAUCACUUUCUUUAAGAUUUUCUUAGCCAUGUGUUUUCUCAAUUAUGAGAUGAACAUGUGAUGUUGCCCGGAUGAAAUGCACAAUUGCACAUUUUGAAGGAGAAAAGAAAAAUAGAAACAAUAACCAGGACAAAUUAUUAGCACAUUUCAGUUUAUUUUAAUUGUGCAAGAAAUAAUUAAUAGGGUUUUAUUUGGAAGGAAAAAGGGAUAUGCACCUUUUUAGAUUAGUCUUACAUUGAUGCUCAUUAGAAACAAGUCUAUUUUUUAUUUUUUAUUUUAUUUUAUUUAAAAAACUCGGUAUUCGGCCUAAUGACCGACUAAGUAGUAACGGAUUUGGAUCUCGUAAGCAAGUAAUCACGAGUUUGAUCCCAGCUCAUGUGUAUAGAGAAAAUUUGGUUGGAAGAGGAAAAUCCACUUUGUGUGUCCUAUGGAUUUUUUAAUGGAGAUUAGUCACCGCUAAAUAAUGGUGAAAACUUCAUACAUAAUAAGAUAACUCAAAAAAAUAAAUAGGGUCUAAAUGUUUUGUACACCGACAAUUAAUCUUAACUUUAGAUUAUUAGAAAUGUUUGACUUCUUUCUUAAUAACUCCCAAAGUCAGAAAUGUGAUAGUAGUUUCUUGCACUAACAUUGCAUGAAAAUUAAACUCAAUUAUAUUACACUUAAUUUCUUGUUAAACUCGACAAGAUUUUAUUGUACGUGUCAUUUUUCAUACAACCAUGAGGGGCUUACCCCAAUUGUAUGUGAAGUUGUGCCUAAAAUAUCAUAGUAUUAUCUUUGAUUUGUCUCUACAUCUGUUCCUUUCUGAUAAACUUCUGAGUGUUGAAAUAUAUAUUUUUGUUGUUGCAUAGUUUUAAGCAACUGAUCAAUGUCAGCUUGUAACACAAAAUAAGGCACCAAUUAAUGAAUGAAACGUGAGGACUACCGUUAUGAAAUUGGGUUUGGUGCUGUUGGAUAAUGUAAUAUUUAUAAAUGGACAACUAAGCCUUUGUCAAUUAAAAAUCUUGUUUUAUUUUAUUUAAAUUUAAAAGUCAACCUUCCAGAAUAAAAUUACCUGUACUCUAGGAAUAGAUCCAAUUAUAUGAAAUUUUCACAUAAGAUGGAGAAAUGUGAUCUCUCAUUAUUCAAACUUAGAGUAAAAAAAAUCAAAUUUUAUCUCUCUUCUAAAAUGACGUGGAUAUCACUUCUCCCUUGUUAAAAUUUGACUUGAGAGGAUCAUUCCUCUGUACUUUAUAUGUUUCUUAUCAACAUUGUUAGUGGAAAAGUACAUACUAUCUCCAUCCUUUUUAUAACCCUUUAGUUAUUUUCACAUAGUAGUAUCGGAAGAAGUAGUAGUAGUGUAUUUAAUAUGUUUUAGGGUCCGUUUGCAUUGACUUA